rnacentral:lncRNA from 1 species
CUUAUGUUCUUCUGUAAAACUAUAACAUAAUAUAGACACCAGAAAACCCAGUUUCCAGUGCUGCAGUUUUUGAANGGAGCUUUCCCUAUGCAACUUUUGAAGUGCUCUGCAGGACAAGAGCUUUGAGAGCUACCAGCCUGGGUAGUCACAUAAGGGAUCUAUUGUUCUGGAGAAAGGUGGGGCCUGUUGAAGCAGGGCCCAGGGUGUGUCUGUAGUUCAGCAGAAAGCCAAGUCACCAUCCGGAAAGCCGAGGGGCACAGAUUCAUUCUCCAGCUCCUUCCCGGAAGGAGGUAACGGCAAAGCACUUAUGCAGCUUCCAAGAAACCACAUGGAUUCAUGUUGUCACUAGGAGCUGGUUGCUAACAACAAGUGACGUUUCAGAAGCAGACUGCGCCCCCUGGCGUGAGAACAGCUCUCCACCACGAACAGAGCGCUCAUUUCUGAAGGACUCGAAGAUCUCAGCAUCACAUGGGAAAANAGAAUGGAUGCCCUUAACGUUCGAAGGUAUAUUUUUUGACCCUGAAUGUUUGGUUUUAAUUUCCCUGAUUUGAUGGGCACCCUUGAUGGCUGCACCUUUCUGUGUUCGAGUUACUAGUCUGCACUGCUAUAUUCUCUUCAACAACAACAAAAAAUA